AACGAACGCUGGCGGCGUGCCUAACACAUGCAAGUCGAACGCGAAAGGGGGCAACUCCCGGUAGCGUGGCAGACGGGUGAGUAACACGUGGGUAACCUGCCCCGAGGUGGGGGAUAACCCUCCGAAAGGAGGGCUAAUACCGCAUGACACCUGGAGGUCCGCGGAUCUUCAAAUCAAAGCUAGCCUCUGCUUGCAAGCUAGCGCCACGGGAGGGGCCCGCGCCCCAUUAGCUAGUUGGUGAGGUAACGGCUCACCAAGGCGACGAUGGGUAGCCGGCCUGAGAGGGCGAUCGGCCACACUGGAACUGAGACACGGUCCAGACUCCUACGGGAGGCAGCAGUGAGGAAUAUUGCGCAAUGGGCGAAAGCCUGACGCAGCGACGCCGCGUGGAGGACGAAGGUCUUCGGAUCGUAAACUCCUGUCGAGCGGGACGAAGCCGGAGCGGUGAACAGCCGCUUCGGUUGACGGUACCGCUAAAGGAAGCCCCGGCUAACUCCGUGCCAGCCGCCGCGGUAAAAC
rnacentral:rRNA from 1 species